rnacentral:rRNA from 1 species
GAUGAACGCUGGCGGCGUGCCUAAUACAUGCAAGUCGAGCGAACAGACGAGGAGCUUGCUCCUCUGACGUUAGCGGCGGACGGGUGAGUAACACGUGGAUAACCUACCUAUAAGACUGGGAUAACUUCGGGAAACCGGAGCUAAUACCGGAUAAUAUAUUGAACCGCAUGGUUCAAUAGUGAAAGACGGUUUUGCUGUCACUUAUAGAUGGAUCCGCGCCGCAUUAGCUAGUUGGUAAGGUAACGGCUUACCAAGGCAACGAUGCGUAGCCGACCUGAGAGGGUGAUCGGCCACACUGGAACUGAGCCACGGUCCAGACUCCUACGGGAGGCAGCAGUGGGGAAUCUUCCGCGAUGGGCGAAAGCCUGACGGAGCAACGCCGCGUGAGUGAUGAAGGUCUUCGGAUCGUAAAACUCUGUUAUUAGGGAAGAACAAAUGUGUAAGUAACUAUGCACGUCUUGACGGUACCUAAUCAGAAAGCCACGGCUAACUACGUG